rnacentral:rRNA from 1 species
CCUACGGGUGGCAGCAGUGGGGAAUAUUGCACAAUGGGGGAAACCCUGAUGCAGCGACGCCGCGUGAGUGAAGAAGUAUUUCGGUAUGUACAGCUCUAUCAGCAGGGAAGAAAAUGACGGUACCUGAUUAAGAAGCCCCGGCUAACUACGUGCCAGCAGCCGCGGUAAUACGUAGGGGGCAAGCGUUAUCCGGAUGUACUGGGUGUAAAGGGAGCGUAGACGGCAGCAGAAGUCGGGAGUGAAAUGCCGGGGCUUAACCCCGGAACUGCUUUGGAAACUGUGCAGCUAGAGUGCAGGCGAGGGAAGUGGAAUGCCUAGUGUAGCGGUGAAAUGCGUAGAUAUCAGGAGGAACACCGGCGGCGAAGGCGGCCUGCUGGACUGAAACUGACGUUGAGGCUCGAAAGCGUGGGGAGCAAACAGGAUUAGAUACCCGUGUAGUC